UACAGAGGGUGCAAGCGUUAAUCGGAAUUACUGGGCGUAAAGCGUGCGUAGUCGGUUAUUUAAGUCGGGUGUGAAAGCCCCGGGCUCAACCUGGGAACUGCAUUUGGGACUGCAAGGCUGGAGUACGGCAGAGGGAGGUGGAAUUCCACGUGUAGCAGUGAAAUGCGUAGAGAUGUGGAGGAACACCGAUGGCGAAGGCAGCCUCCUGGGCUAGUACUGACGCUCAUGCACGAAAGCGUGGGGAGCAAACAGG
rnacentral:rRNA from 1 species